CACAAAUUAACAGCCAGAUGAAGAGAUACAGCAGCCAAUCACAGGCACUUUUGUUCUGUUGGGCCACCCUCCCAGCAAAUAGAUGUUCUGUCUGUGACCAUCUACGGGUACCUGCAGGUCAGUUCUCACCCCUACAUGCUAGUCUUAGAAGAGCUGAGAGCACGGUCACUGCACUGAAGCUUGCUGUCAGAGGAAUGGAAUCAACUUACCUCCACUGGGUCCAGUUCAGAAACUGAAGCUCCCUCGUUGCUGUGUAGUUUGUUAAAGGGCCCGGGCAUAGCUUUGCACCUCAAAUGAGGAGCUUCUUCUGUAACUCCAGGAGGAGGGUGGACUCUCAGAACUCAACCUCACGCAGACUUUCCCUACAAGAAACCCAGUCCAACAGUCCAAAAGUACACACUGGAGUAUUAUUAAAAUUGUUACCCAUGUUUCCUAAAGAACAUGAAAAAGUCUAGUUUGUGAGCCUCAGUACUAUUUCUUAGACAACCUCACUCCCCUUCAUCGUGUUUCUGAAGAGGCCCUCAGCACAUGCCCUGCAGCCAUGCUUUUGGGAAACUCCUAUCCAUCAAGACCUUUUUUUUUUUUUCUGUUUUCAUCCUUUUUUUUUUUUUUAAGAGAACAAAGGAAAUUAUACAUAUUGG
rnacentral:lncRNA from 1 species